rnacentral:lncRNA from 1 species
AUGAGAAAGGUUUCUAAGGCCCUGCUGUGCUCCUGGCCCUCUUGCUUGCUUCUGCCCUACCUAAGGCACAGACAAGUUCUCUGUGUAGGAAAAGAAUUCUUGUUUUCCACAUGUAGCAUCUUCCAGAGUGUUCUGGAAUGUCCACAUGCCCAGUUAGAAUCCAACAUUAGAAUGAAGUCAGACUCUCAGCCUCUUCUUUGGGAAACCCCUGCCCAUCUGGUCACUGGUGCUGUGCAGCAGGAGAGACUCGGGGUGCUGGUUGCAUUGCUGCAGCAGGAGAGACUCGGGGUGCUGGUUGCAUUGCUGCAGCAGAAGAGACCUGGGGUGCUGGUUGCAUUGCUGCAGCAGGAGAGACCUGGGGUGCUGGUUGCAUUGCUGCAGCAGGAGAGACCUGGGGUGCUGGUUGCAUUGCUGCAGCAGGAGAGACUCGGUUGCUGGUUGCACUGCUGCAGCAGGAGAGACUCGGGUGCUGGUUGCACUGCUGCAGCAGGAGAGACUCGGUUGCUGGUUGCACUGCUGCAGCAGGAGAGACUCGGGUGCUGGUUGCACUGCUGCAGCAGGAGAGACUCGGGUGCUGGUUGCACUGCUGCAGCAGGAGAGACCUGGGUUGCUGGUUGCACUGCUGCAGCAGGAGAGACUCGGGUGCUGGUUGCACUGCUGCAGCAGGAGAGACUCGGGGUGCUGGUUGCAUUGCUGCAGCAGGAGAGACUCGGGUGCUGGUUGCACUGCUGCAGCAGGAGAGACCUGGGUUGCUGGUUGCACUGCUGCAGCAGGAGAGACUCGGUUGCUGGUUGCACUGCUGCAGCAGGAGAGACUCGGGGUGCUGGUUGCAUUGCUGCAGCAGAAGAGACCUGGGGUGCUGGUCACACUGCUGCAGCAGGAGUGACCCGGGUGUUGGUUGCGUUGCUGCAUCUCUCAAAAGCUUCGUUUUGUUGUUGGUUGGAUCUGGCCCUGUGUAGUCAUGGCCAUGUGGCUUCAGGUUCUCAUAGGACACAGGGAUAUGUGACUGAUGAGAUUUCAAGAGAGGAGAACCGGAUGAGUGGGGGAUUGCAGCUUCCCUCCUCCCCACGCCCGGGACCCUCCACUCACAGAGAGAACGAGCUUCUCCAGCGUUUGGAGGAGAGAGAAGAUGGGCUUCCCUGCAAGUCCAUAGAAGCCUUGGUGGCUUUCUGGAUCAAUGCAGCCAUACACUCACUCCUUGCACAGCCUCUGUCCAGUUUUACAUAUGCUUUGGAAAUAAGAAAAACUGUCAAUAACACCAUGACCUAA